AUUACCGCGGCUGCUGGCACGUAGUUAGCCGGUGCUUCUUUACCUGGUACCCUCAAACUUGCUGGAUAUUAGCCAACUUGUCUUGUUCCCAGGCGAAAGAGCUUUACAACCCUAAGGCCUUCAUCGCUCACACGGCGUCGCUUCGUCAGGCUUUCGCCCAUUGCGAAAGAUUCUCGACUGCUGCCUCCCGUAGG
rnacentral:rRNA from 1 species